CUGAAGAAGGAAGAGUACUUGAACAAAGUAUCACACGCAAUGAAUGAGAGUGCUGAUCAUCACUCACACUCACACGCGGAACACGAUCAGAAUAAUCCUUCCCUAAUUUCUCAGGCCUCCAAUGUCAUUCAACAGACAGGAGGGCAAGUGAAGAAUAUGGCACAAGGAGCAGCGGACGCUGUGAAGAACACUCUUGGGAUGAGUCCAGCCACUAACAACCCUAGCAGCCCGGCGGGCACGACCCGCCCGAGCAACCAUAGCUCCAAAAAUCUUUAAAAGAAGUUGUUUUAAGAAAUUGUUGGCCUGAUCUUCUCAACAUAAAUAAAAACUUUUUCAUUGUGUUUGGUUUGCUCUAUUUCUUCUCUGAUUUUUUUUUUUUGUAUUUUUGUUAUUGUAAGUUGAGACAUUAUUACUCAUCAUAAAUUUAGUAAGGGCUUUAUUUAUCUUAUGAAUGAUCGUCAAAUAAUAUCAUCUAUUUCUUUUUAA